rnacentral:rRNA from 1 species
CCUACGCGAUGCAGCAGGGAGGAAUAUUGGUAAAUGGGCGCGAGCCUGAACCAGCCAAGUCGCGUGAGGGAUGACGGUCCUACGGAUUGUAAACCUCUUUUGACGGGGAGAAAGCGUGCGUUCGGGAACGCGCGGCGAGAGUACACGGAGAAAAAGCAACGGCUAACUCCGUGCCAGAAGCCGCGCUAAUACGGAGGAUGCGAGCGUUAUCCGGAUUUAUUGGGUUUAAAGGGUGCGUAGGCGGGAUGCCAGGUCAGCGGUAAAAAAGCGGUGCUCAACGACGUGGAGCCGUUUAAACUGGCGUUCUUGAGUGGGCGAGAAGUAUGCGGAAUGCGUGGUGUAGCGGUGAAAUGCAUAGAUAUCACGCAGAACUCCGAUUGCGAAGGCAGCAUACCGGCACCCUACUGACGCUGAGGCACGAAAGCGUGGGUAUCGAACAGGAUUAGAUACCCUUGUAGUC